GGGGGGCUGCAGUGGGGAAUAUUGGACAAUGGGCGAAAGCCUGAUCCAGCCAUGCCGCGUGUGUGAAGAAGGUCUUCGGAUUGUAAAGCACUUUAAGUUGGGAGGAAGGGCAGUAAGUUAAUACCUUUGUUUUGACGUUACCCGCAGAAGAAGCACCGGCUAACUCCGUGCCAGCAGCCGCGGUAAUACGAAGGGUGCAAGCGUUAAUCGGAAUUACUGGGCGUAAAGCGCACGCAGGC
rnacentral:rRNA from 1 species